GGUGUACUGGAAGUGUACCUGAUC
rnacentral:rRNA from 1 species